rnacentral:rRNA from 1 species
GUCCACACAGUAAACGAUGGAUACUCGCUGCCGGCGAUAUAAUGUCGGUGGCUUAGCGAAAGCGUUAAGUAUCCCACCUGGGGAGUACGCCGGCAACGGUGAAACUCAAAGGAAUUGACGGGGGCCCGCACAAGCGGAGGAACAUGUGGUUUAAUUCGAUGAUACGCGAGGAACCUUACCCAGGCUCGAACGGCAAGCUGAAUGUUACCAGAGAUGGUUUCAGUCUUCGGACAGUUUGUCGAGGUGCUGCAUGGUUGUCGU